AUUUGACGUUACCUACAGAAGAAGACACCGGCUAACUCCGUGCCAGCAGCCGCGGUAAUACGGAGGGGUGCGAGCGUUAAUCGGAAUUACUGGGCGUAAAGCGCAUGCAGGCGGCCUGUUAAGUCAGAUGUGAAAGACCCGGGGCGUUAACCUCGGAAUUGCAUUUGAAACUAGGCAGGCUAGAGUCUUGUAGAGGGGGGUAGGAAUUUCAGGUGUAGCGGUGAAAUGCGUAGAGAUCUGAAGGAAUACCAGUGGCGAAGGCGGCCCCCUGGACAAAGACUGACGCUCAGAUGCGAAAGCGUGGGGAGCAAACAGGAUUAGAUACCCCUGGUAG
rnacentral:rRNA from 1 species